ensembl:lncRNA
CUCUUUGCAACUGCAUGGACCAUAGCCUGCCAGGUUCCUGUGUCCAUGGAAUUUCCCAGGCAAGUAUACUGGAGCGGGUAGCCUUUUUCUGCUCCAGGGGAUCUUCCUGACCAGGGAUCAAACCUGGGUCUCCUUCUUUGCAGGCAGAUUCUUUACCCUCUGAACCACCAGAGAAGCCCAUAAUUUAAGUUAAAAUUUGGCCACUAGAGGGGCUUCCCUGGUGGCUCAGCUGGCUUAAAAAAAAAAAAAAAAAAAAAAAACGCCUGCAAAGUGGGAGACCUGGGUUUGAUCCCUGGGAUGGGAAGAUCCCCUGGGGAAGGGCAUGACAGUAUUCUUGCCUGGAGAAUCCCCAAAGACAGAGAAGCCUGGCGGGUUACAGUCCAUGGGGUUGCAAAAAGUCAGACACAACUGAGUGACUAAGCACAGCACACAGCCCUCAUCCAGUGCGGCUGGGUCCUUAUGAAAGAAGAGUUCAGGACACAGACACAGAGGGAAGACCCUGUGAAGGCAAGGAGAAGAUGGCCAUCUGCAGGGAGAGCGGCCUCAGAAGAAAGCAAAUCCACCAACAACUUGAUGUCUAACUUGCAGCCUCCGGAAAUUGAUGGAAAACCUGCCUAAGGAUCCCUGAGCAUUAGGCCACUGAAAACUGUCUUUACCCUACAGAAGAGCCUGUUUCAACAUCUGUUUUCCUUGAAGAAAACAUGUUCCAAGAACAACCAGAGUCUCAUCUAAAGAAAAGAAUCCACCUGCCAGUGCCGGAGAUGCAGGUUGGAUCCCUGUGUCUGGAAGAUCCCUGGAGAAGGAAAUGGCCACCCUCUCCAGUAUUCUUGCCUGGAGAAUCCCAUGGACAGAGGAGCCUGGCGGGCUUCCGUCCAUGGGGUGGCAGAGUCGGACACGACUGAGCGACUAAGCACACAGCGUGUACUUCUAAAGUCUGUACGUAGGUUCAGUUCUUGGCCUCCUCUUUUCUACAUAUGCAGCAUUGCCUGUGCCUGGAACACCCCCUGUACACUCUACUUUCUCUUGUCCAGCCUCAGCACUCUCAUCCGCUCUGCUUUUAUUCUAGUUAACUCUUGCUGUUAAGCCUCUGCUGAAGCCCUACCUCCUGAAGUCAUAAGAGCUUCAGGAAGCCUUCCUGAAGUCAUGAGAGCUCAUACCCCAUGUGUUUCCACUUCUGUAAUCCUCACGACGCACCUUCGCUACUUGUUUCAUGUCCAUUUUCUCCAUAAAUUGUAAACUCCAUCCAGGCAGAAACUUGCUCUUUGUAUCUCUAGCGUGCGCCCUUCAAGCACUACCUGAAUAGACUUGGCCCUCCUAGGAAUGAAAUAUCCAUCUGAUUUUCAUAUUCUGAUGCAGAAGAACCAUCUCCCCAGCUUUCCCAUCCCCUUUUCUCUCUCUCCUUUUUUGUCCUAUCUUUUUGAAUAAGCUUAGCUGCAGACAGAGUGUGUUAGCCCAGACAGCCCCCUCCAGUGCAGUAAUCACAUCUCUUCCAGAAUGUUCUUUGUUUGAAAUCCUGUUAAAAAAUACUCAAGUUCAGCCUGACUACACAAAUGAUGCUUCAGCAAUAACAGAAUUAUUUGUUUUUCAAAAAUAAUGUUUUCUCUUGCUCAUAUGCUCACAGCAAAGCUUGCGUGAUAUGAAUAAAUGUUAUUAAAAGUCCAGGUCAUCCUCAAGGGUUAUGUAAGCCUGUUGCGGGAAAGUUUGUGGUCACAGAAGGAGUGUUAGAGUUUGGGGAGAGAAGAGGACUCAGGAAGCAGCCGAGCCUGUCUGUUGCUGGGUUUCCCUCCUCUGGAGAUUCAUGUGAGGCUCAACAAGAGACUCUCACCUGUCCAGCCCUUCGCGUCAUUAGCAUCUGCAGAAUCAAAGGGAGGAAUUACUGAUCUGUGACAGGAAGAAAGUGCUUAGGCACUGCCUCUGUGUGCUCAUAUAGAAAGAACAUUUCACGAAUGCACAUUCAGCGGGUCGUUCUGGUUUUCCUGAUUUUUACCUCUGGCCACUGUCCAUGAGGUUGCUAAGAGUCGGACACGACUGAGCAACUUCACCUUCACUUUUCACUUUCCUGCAUUGGAGACGGAAAUGGCAGCCCACUCCAGUGUUCUUGCCUGGAGAAUCCCAGGGACGAGGGAGCCUGAUGGGCUGCCAUCUAUGGGGUCGCACAGAGUCGGGCACGACUGAAGCGACUUAGCAGCAGCACCACCACCAGUUUCUAGAUACCUUGUUCUAGACGCCCUUGCUUUUACCAGAGACUUCACGCCCUCUGGUGGUGAGUAUGAAGUACACCAGCGCAGUCAGCUUGGUUCACUUUACCUGAAAAUUCCAUGGACUGAGAGGCUCCUCAGAGCCUGGUAGGCUACAGUCCACGGUCUCGCAAAGAGUCGGACACGACUGAGCGACUUCACUUUCACUUUCAUCUGAACCCUGUAAAGACUAUGAAAUGGUAGGUGAUUUUUACCUCAAUUAUGACUGUGAUCUGUUUCCAAAUAUUAGCAUAUUAAUCAUUAAGUUUCAGUUUAGUGGGUAUUAAGUGCCUUGCCUGGUAAGCAUAAAUUUACAACUGGACUAUUUCAAUCCUAGUAUUUUACAGUGGUUCUCAAGUUUUGAUGUGCGAAAGAAUCACCAGAGAAAUCUGAUUAAAGCUCCAGUUCUCAACCACAGCUCCAGACGUCCUUGUUCGGCAGGCUUUGGGUUUCCCAGAAAUAGGCCCAUUUAAAAUGAGCCCCGGGGGGAUUCCCUGGUGGCUCAGUGGUAAAGAAUCUGUCUGCCAAUUUCAGAGUUAGGAUUGGCACAAGAGAAGCCACUGCGAUGAGAAGCCCACUUGCUUCAGCUGGAGAAAAGCCCAUCAGCCACAGAGACCCAGGACAGCCAAAGAUAAGUGCAUAGUUAGUUAUCCUUUAAAAGACGAGCCUCUGACGAGGUCGACCUGUGUGAGCUGUACUUUGAGAAAUGCUGGCUUAAAUACUAACAGUACGGAUUUGGAACCAAACCCAAGUCCCGUCUCUGCCGGUAGUAUGACAUUGGAUUGUCCCAUCCGUAAGAAGGCAAUGAGAAUAUUUACUCCAUAGAUCUGUCGCAGGGUAAAACGAGACCCUAAUUUAAAGGGCUUGGCAGGAUCUGGUCAUGGCAGGGACCCAGUACAUGCCAGCUCUUAUUAUGUGUAGUAUUGAUUUAAUUAGGUCAAACUAUGAGCGACUUCCCUUUCACUUUUCACUUUCAUG